UGUAUUGUGGAGCUGGAUAGUCUCGACAACGCAAACCGGUGGCAGAGGACGGGUCGGACUCGCUUGAAUCGUCUCAGAGCUGCGUCGGCCUUUCGGACCUGCGAUCGUUGUGUCGUCGUGUGAAGAUGCGUUAGAGUUGUUGGGUGGUGCUGCGUUCACUGCAGCAGCGGCGGCGGCGCUGAUAUUGUUGGGAAACGUCAUCGUCGUGGAGGCUUCGACUUCGCCUUCGGCGUUCGUACAAAACGUCAUCUACUCAACAAGAUUGCCAUCUUCUCCAAUUCCUACUGCCCCUCCUUGCAGUGCUUGUAGCAAUUGUUGGUGUGGGUGCUUUUCUGUGGUGGGCAAGGCAGGAUAUGGUUCAAGACAGUGUAAGGCUACUUCUAUUUUUUCUCUUGCUCACUUCUUAAAGCUCAUAGUUUUCUUCAACUGUGGUAUCAAACAUCUGUUGUUGCCUAGUUAAAACACAACCCAAGUUGUUGAGUGCCUUAAGUUCCAUGCUCUCAAUUUAAUUUCCAUGUUGGCACCUACAA